GUUCACUGCAAGAAAGCAAUCUGAGCAAGCACAUUCAGCUUUCAGUAAUGUGACCUCUCUGGGAUUAAAGUCACUCGUAGUGGUUUUGCUCAACUGAAAUGUUUAUGGGUCUGGCUGUUGGACUGGCAUUGGAAAAAAUGGAGCUAACAGGAUUGUGUCAACUGAAAUCAAAUGCAGGAAGAAAAAGCCUCACACAUGGACAGAGACUGGAAGGACACACAGGAAAUUGACUGGAACCAUGAGAAGACAGAAAAUCUCAUCAAUGUUUCAUUGGGAAAUGGAAAAUAAUACCUCCUAAUAAUACCUCCAGCUGAUUGUUUUCAAGCACUCACAUGAUGGUGUGUGAAAAGAUGGGAAACUUCUCUUCAGAUUCCAGUGGUUGUGCUAUUACAUCCAUACAUUACAAACAUUACAUACAUACAUACAUAACAUACACUACAAAUAUUACAGAAAAUAUUUGAAGGGGUGUUUAAAACUGGUUAACAGAUUUUUAUUUUUAUUUUUAAUCUCUAAGAUGAUUCUCCCUUCACAUAGAGCUAACUACUUCUUCCCAAAAUUCAGAUACUGAUAACUAAAUAAGUAAAUGUUUGACAUCCUAUUAUUUCCUCUGGGGAAAAGUCAAGCCUCUCUGCAUGAAAACUGUACUUCUUAAGUAGUAAUGUUGAGGAAAAAAAAAAAAAAGCCCAGUCUACAUAUCACUGAAGGAGAUAUUCAUGUUGGCUAAUGAUAACUUAACACAUCUACCCCCAAGCUAACCAGAGGCUGAAUGAGUCUUCUCAUGGG